UGGCAACUACAGCAGCAGAGUAAUAACGCUAUUCCGUUGAUUGCUUGAGGUGAGUAAAAGUGGUUGUGUAAAUAUCUUAUAAUAUGAAAUGCGAUGUUCGAUCAUUUAUUUAUCCAUGGUACGUUCAAUUUGAAUAAUUAUUGUUAAUAAUUGUUAUAAAUUGCUAAUUUUAUUGUUCUUUGUGGAUUGUAACAGUACACUCUGUACAUGGCUUUAGUUCAUAGGUUCGAUUUUACAGAGGUAUGGCAUCACAUUUGUCAAGUUAUUUGAACAGACAUGCAUGAUUUUUGUGUGUAUACUAUUAUUAUUAUUAUUAUUAUUCAGGAUGACAUGAUCAGGAGGUGGUGGUGUUCUGUUCUCCUGGACAGCUUCACUCCGCAAAUAGCUCAACCACUGAGGGGAGGAACUUCACCAUUCACCAUGUCUUCAGGCAGAGUCCAGCAAAGCAGCUUCCACUGGAAAUCCUCAGGGAAGUUAUUUUGUUGGCGGGUGACUCUGCAUAUUUGACACUUUCUCUGGUUUGCAGAUGGUUUAGGGAUGUGCUCCGAAGUUUUUCGGAAAGCGGCACAGUUUGCCUGGCUAGACAGUAAGAUUUCCCCGUUUAAUGCUCAUUCUCCAAUUGAAUUUUGUAGUAGAAGGCUGUUAAACUUUUUUUGUAUUAUUAUUAUUAUCUUUCAUGUAUUUUGUCUUUACACUAUAAGUUGUGGCCAACUGGAAGAAUUGUCCUCCUGUCUCCUGACCGGAACAAGUUCAGACGGAUAUACAGCAUCAGGGAAUGCUUGCAGUGCAGAGCCCUUUUCAAGUUUAACCCACCAGGUUACAGGGAAGAGACCGGCGUGGUGAUCUUCUGGGCUUUUGUUUACACAGGAUUUUGUUCCAAGGACUGUUUUUUUUUUUUUUUUUUUUUUUUUCGGCAUGAAACACAUUUGUGUGUUAAGUUUAUUGAAGGGAAAUAGAGAAUGGACUGAGAUCAACUGGUUUUGAUGCAUUAAUUGAUGUCAUUUAAAGUUCAACUUUGCAGUGUAUAAUGUUUUAAUAAAAAAGCUAUGGAAAACACGUGCAUGACAACAGGUUUCAGUCAUUUACAUCAGUCUAUCAUUCUUUAAGGUUUCUCAUAUUUGAUGAUAACAUCAUUUGCUAUGCAUUGCUCAUAAUGGAUUCUUAAUUUAGUUGUGACAGGAUUGUGAGGAUUAAUGAGGUUUUCAGUAGUGCAGUUCAGAAAACAAAUAACAGAAAGUAACAAGUGUUUUUGGGCAAGUUCUUUAGAACCUGUAUAGUUCCUUCCUUGCAAAAAGUAACCAUGGAUUUAUUGUAGUAAAAAUAUUUGUUGGCAUAUUAAUUACUGUGAGCUGUAAUUAUAAAAACACCAUAGUUUUACUAUAGUUACUGUAGCAGAACCAUGGUAAAUUUUCGUAGGGGCCAAGGGAAUGUUCAGAAUAUUAU